UACAGAGGGGGCAAGCGUUAUUCGGAAUUAUUGGGCGUAAAGGGCGCGUAGGCGGCCUGGCAAGUGGAAGGUGAAAUCCCUCGGCUUAACCGAGGAACUGCCCUCCAAACUGCUUGGCUUGAGUCCGGGAGAGGUGAGUGGAAUUCCCAGUGUAGCGGUGAAAUGCGUAGAUAUUGGGAGGAACACCAGUGGCGAAGGCGGCUCACUGGACCGGAACUGACGCUGAGGCGCGAAAGCGUGGGAGCAAACAGG
rnacentral:rRNA from 1 species